UACGUAGGGUGCAAGCGUUGUCCGGAAUUAUUGGGCGUAAAGAGCUCGUAGGCGGUCUGUCGCGUCUGCUGUGAAAACUCAGGGCUUAACCCUGAGCUUGCAGUGGGUACGGGCAGACUAGAGUGCGGUAGGGGAGACUGGAAUUCCUGGUGUAGCGGUGAAAUGCGCAGAUAUCAAGAGGAACACCGGUGGCGAAGGCGGGUCUCUGGGCCGAUACUGACGCUGAGGAGCGAAAGCGUGGGGAGCGAACAGG
rnacentral:rRNA from 1 species